rnacentral:rRNA from 1 species
UACGGAGGGGGCGAGCGUUAUUCGGAAUUAUUGGGCGUAAAGGGCGCGUAGGCGGCGCGAUAAGUCAAAGGUGAAAUCCCUCGGCUCAACUGAGGAACUGCCUUUGAAACUGUCGUGCUUGAGGCCGGGAGGGGGUAGCGGAAUUCCCAGUGUAGCGGUGAAAUGCGUAGAUAUUGGGAGGAACACCAGUGGCGAAGGCGGGUCUCUGGACAGUUCCUGACACUGAGACACGAAGGCCAGGGGAGCAAACGGG